CGCGAAGAACCUUACCUGGUCUUGACAUCCACAGAAGUUUUCAGAGAUGAGAAUGUGCCUUCGGGAACUGUGAGACAGGUGCUGCAUGGCUGUCGUCAGCUCGUGUUGUGAAAUGUUGGGUUAAGUCCCGCAACGAGCGCAACCCUUAUCCUUUGUUGCCAGCGGUCCGGCCGGGAACUCAAAGGAGACUGCCAGUGAUAAACUGGAGGAAGGUGGGGAUGACGUCAAGUCAUCAUGGCCCUUACGACCAGGGCUACACACGUGCUACAAUGGCGCAUACAAAGAGAAGCGACCUCGCGAGAGCAAGCGGACCUCAUAAAGUGCGUCGUAGUCCGGAUUGGAGUCUGCAACUCGACUCCAUGAAGUCGGAAUCGCUAGUAAU
rnacentral:rRNA from 1 species